rnacentral:rRNA from 1 species
UACAGAGGGGGCAAGCGUUAUUCGGAAUUAUUGGGCGUAAAGAGCGUGUAGGCGGCCAGGCAGGUCCGCUGUGAAAACUCGAGGCUCAACCUCGAGAGGUCGGUGGAAACCGUUUGGCUAGAGUCCGGAAGAGGAGAGUGGAAUUCCCGGUGUAGCGGUGAAAUGCGCAGAUAUCGGGAAGAACACCCGUGGCGAAGGCGGCUCUCUGGGACGGUACUGACGCUGAGACGCGAAAGCGUGGGGAGUGAACAGG